rnacentral:piRNA from 1 species
UUGUGAUAUUCUCUAGCUAGAACCCAGAGA